rfam:Schistosoma margrebowiei strain Zambia genome assembly, scaffold: SMRZ_contig0000085
UUUCAGUUGAUGAGUUCAAAAUAGGACGAAACAGCUGUCGUGAAU